rnacentral:rRNA from 1 species
GAUGAACGCUGGCGGCGUGCCUAAUACAUGCAAGUCGAGCGAACAGAUAAGGAGCUUGCUCCUUUGACGUUAGCGGCGGACGGGUGAGUAACACGUGGGUAACCUACCUAUAAGACUGGGAUAACUUCGGGAAACCGGAGCUAAUACCGGAUAAUAUUUCGAACCGCAUGGUUCGAUAGUGAAAGAUGGUUUUGCUAUCACUUAUAGAUGGACCCGCGCCGUAUUAGCUAGUUGGUAAGGUAACGGCUUACCAAGGCGACGAUACGUAGCCGACCUGAGAGGGUGAUCGGCCACACUGGAACUGAGACACGGUCCAGACUCCUACGGGAGGCAGCAGUAGGGAAUCUUCCGCAAUGGGCGAAAGCCUGACGGAGCAACGCCGCGUGAGUGAUGAAGGUCUUCGGAUCGUAAAACUCUGUUAUUAGGGAAGAACAUACGUGUAAGUAACUGUGCACGUCUUGACGGUACCUAAUCAGAAAACCACGGCUAACUACGUG